rnacentral:lncRNA from 1 species
GGAUUUCUGAGUUUGAGGCCAGCCUAGGCUACAGAGUGAGUUCCAGGACAAACCCUGUCUCAAAAAACCAAAAAAAAAAAAAAAAAAAAAGAAUUGCUACCUUGAAUGCUAGAGAGAUGACUCAGUGGCUAAGAGCACUGACUGUUUGUUCUUCCAGAGGUUCUGAGUUCAAUUCCCAGCAACCACUUGGUGGCUCACAACCAUCUGUAAUGGGACCUGAUGCCCUCAUCUUAUCUGUCUGAAGUCAGCUACAGUGUACUCAUAUACAUAAAGUAAUAAAUAAUAAAAAAGAAAGAAUUGCUACCUUGUCACUCAAUGCACAUGGGUUUUGUGUUGUGUUUUUUGUUUUUUCUUUGGGGAACUGAGCUUUACCAUGUUCAAGGAAGUUAAUCAGGUUUUAGAACUACAUUAUUUUCUGCCUCUGUGUUCUUUGUUCUUUUGCUAUAUACAUUUCUGUUUACAAGGAUGUUGCUGACCCAGUCCUCUUAGAGAAGCACUUUUGUUUGGAGUUGGGGUCUUUCUAGCACAGGCUGUAAGGAGAAAACUGGACUCCAUUUGUCAGCUUCUCCUUUGCUCCUGCGUGGUGAUGUCUGUUUGGUUUAGACAAUAAUGAGCUGAUCUAUGUUGUCUUAAUUUCUAGGAAAGUCUGAAACAGUAGUCACAGAACAUGACGUGGAAUGAAUUCAGAAAUUGAACAUGAUUGUCAGCACAUGAAAGGUGCCUCAGGGAGAGUGCAGUGUGGUCGGAAACAAGGACAGAGGCAUGGAGCACACCACUGGCAGCAUGGUGUCCCAAAGUCAGGUGUUGAUCAUGGAGCUGCCAAACAGAAGAGACAUGAGUUAUGACUGACAAGUGGUGACUGUGAGAUGCACAGGGAACAGAUGGAGCAGCUGGUGCGGUGCAUGAAAGGUCAAGUGCUGGGACUGAAGGUGUCCUGUUGCAGACAGGCCAGUGUCUCAGUGUGACCAUGAGAUUCAGCAGUCAGCCUUGCCCAGGUGUCCUCUCCAGUCUCCAGUGGACCUGGAAGUUGGAGGCAGAAGUGGGGGUGCCAGGAUCCACAUGUGUUACUGUGUGGUCCUGAGUGGAUUUGCCAUAACAAGUACAUUACUUAUGUCUGGUUUAUCAUACGAUGCUGGUCUUUAUAACUAAUCAUUAACCUUCUACACUAUUUUCCAUAAGCUUUACCCAUGGAUGAAAGAUUUUUUAACUUUUCCUCACAUGAUAGAUCUAGACUUUGAAAUAUUGAACUAAGGGGAAAAAACCUGGAAAGUAUGUUGAGAAGUACGCACAAUUGCUGCCCUGCCUAACUCUUCAGGUGACAAGUAGCUUUCUAAAGCUUGGAACUGUCAAAGGACUUCUGAGUAUGCUUCCAGCCACAAGUCAGUGCUGACAUCUUAACCAGUGUGUGGAGGAGGAGAGCAUUGGUUUCCACACUGAGGCAGCUCUGUGGUGGUUGUUCCUCUCAGGUACCCUCUACUGGUAAACUUGAACUAUACUGACAGACCAUAGCACAGCUAUGUCCCCAUUGUGCUGGAGUUUGUAUGAAUAGUUAGGAUGUUAAUACUACAUUUUUUUGCCUUCUUUCUCAUAGCUAAUGUCUAUGGAACUAGCUGUAUUACUUGUUUUUUGUUUUGUUUUUUAUUGUUAUAGCUCUGUUAAAUGGCCCCCCAAAUUUCCAGAUAGUAUCCCUAACUGCAACAGAAGAAUUUUAUGGAUCCUUAACUCACAAUAAGUUUGACUUUCAACAAUUUGUUCAGUGUGAAUAUUUUUAUGUCUUUUUCAUGCUUCCACUUACUUGAAACUCAGUUUAUUCUUAAAAACUGUCUAGUAGAACCAGCUUAUUAAGUGUUACUUUGGUAUGCAGUGAAAUGGUCAAUUAAGCAAUAUUGAAGAAAGAUACUUUGACUGUUUUGAAAUUUAUUAUGAAUCAUAAAACAAAAAUCAUUUCAUAGUAUUUCAGAGAUAAAGUCUCAACUGUUCUUAGUCCAGUAUGUCAGUAGAAUUUAUAGUGCAAAUAAAAUUUGCUUAAUUAAAAGAUUUUUUUUGAAAGUCCGUCUAUUAUCAGAAAGCACCAGGAAGAAGUUGUAUUAGUAGCUGCUGUUUUCAUUGGAAGAGUUUUUCAUUAAAUUUCUGUGUAAAAUCUAUUCUUAAUAAGAGAUUUUGUUUGUUUUCCAAACAUACUAUAUAGUAUGAUCUUUUGCAAUCGAAAUGGAUAAGGAAGAAACGAGUGAGGGCUGGUGAUGGUCUUAUAACCACUACAGAAACUCUGUGUUUAGUGCUGUAUCUUGUCUUCAUUCUCAUGUUGAUUAAUUACUAGAUGUUGUCAGUCAUGUCUCCAAUGAAAACAGGAGUGAUAGGGCUUUCUGAGUCAGUUGAUGAAUGAAUCAUACUAAUUUUUAGCAGUUUUUUCAUAUAAUUUUGUCUCCAUCUUUUCAGUAUGUUGACCAAGUUCUUCUAGGUGGUAAAGUUUGUGUUCCAGGUAUAUUGAGUUUAUGUAUUUAUCAUGUAUGCACUAUUGUUAGGUGAAAACAUACUUCAACUUGAUGGGCAGCUAUUAUUCAGUAUUCAUGUAUACUAAUGUUGAUAUAUAUUAGAUACUGUGUUUUACUAUACCUACAAGGUUAUACAAAAUUCUUUUCUUUUACUCAUGAGUUCCAUUUGUUUGGAUUUUUGGUUUGUUUAGAUUUUUUUUCUUCGUGUGUUAAAAAAUAUAGUUUAAUGCUUUUCCUGGUACCUUGCCCUUUGUUGGCAUAAUUGGAAUAUAAAUCGUUCAAAUCUCCACAAUUAAGAGUUUCAGAAAUAUGUGAUACUGGCCACUUGACUUAAUAAAGACUAGAUAUACAAAACAGGUAGAAAAAAAAUACCUAUUUCCUCACUAAAAACAAUUGAAUAUUUUUCUUAUUAUUAGCAAAUAUUAGUAAUAGCAUAGACUAUGAAUAAUUUCUAUAUGUUUUGGCAAGCACAUAGUGAGACAAUGCUUAUUACAGUAAGUACGCAUUUCAGUUAACUAACUGGGCACUGUAAUUCCAAUAGGGCUGUAAUGCAUGGAAACUCACUCUUCAGAUUCCUUAGAGCUGUAACCUGAGACAGUUGAAGGGCCCAUAGUUCAUUUGGGAGGUGUAGAUAGUAGUGAAGCUGAGGAAGCCUGGAAAGGAAAGGUGUACAGAGGGUGUGCUGUCAAGCUGGCUAACACUGCAGGAUGCUAGAACUGUAUUUCCUUUGUGCUACUCUGGAAAAACUAGAACACACAAUUCAGACAUACCUCAUGUGAAGAAUUGGGAUACAGAACUAGUUUGGGGCAGUGGUAGCUAUCCUGUACAGUGAACAGUUCUUGGCAACUUGUGAUCAAGAGCUGUAGCUGGACAUGAUGGCACAUGCUUGCAGUUCCAGCACCUGAGAGGUAGAAUCAGGAAGACCAGGAGUUUAGGGGGAACCUGGGCUACAUGGACUGUGUCCAAAAAAAAAAAAAAAAAAAAAAAUAGAGAAGAGCAGUAGCUGAAGAUUGGUAGACCCAGACUAUCAUUAUAAUACCCACAUCGUCCCUUACAUGUAUACUUGACAGUCCAGCCUCGUAGUACAGUCAGAUGGCAUCCUGUGCGCUUGCACUGCAUGACUGUGUAGCCCACGCAGGCAGAGCCAGGCAAGACUGAAAGGCACAAUGAGAAGACAGUGCUGUGGUUCUGACCCUGGUGGUCUUUACUAUCCAUGUGACCAGGUCUCAUCUGUAAGAUCAGAAGAUGAAUCAGUACACACCACUCUCAGGUGUGUUUGCUCUGAAGCACAUUUGAGCUGAACUUUGCGCAGAAGAGAGGAGGAGGUGCCUUGUUUUACAAAGAGGGAGGUCUGUUUAAUCAGCAAGAUGGAAAAGAUUUCUUGGCAAUUUAAAUUUUCAAAGGCAAAAAGGACAGAUGUUGUCCAGUGAAAAUUAAAAACUUACCUAAAAGGCUUUUUUAAGUUUCUACUUGAACACAUAUUUCACAACUGCAGGUUUGGGCUUCUUUUUCCCUUAUGUUACAUCAUGAACAUGCCACAUGUUAACGUGUAUAAUAUACAAAGUAUGUAAUGUAAUGUAAAUUGAUAUUGUAUGACUGGUUAUAUCUACAUAUUAAUACUAAAUUAUGAAUGUAUAAUUGAUGUGAAAUAAAACACAUCCCUGAUAUUGAACACA